UACGGAGGAUCCAAGCGUUAUCCGGAUUAUUGGGUUUAAAGGGUGCGUAGGUGGCUUUUUAAGUCAGGGGUGAAAGACGGUAGCUUAACUAUCGCAGUGCCUUUGAUACUGAAGAGCUUGAAUGAACUAGAGGUAGGCGGAAUGUGACAAGUAGCGGUGAAAUGCAUAGAUAUGUCACAGAACACCAAUUGCGAAGGCAGCUUACUAUGGUUUUAUUGACACUGAGGCACGAAAGCGUGGGGAUCAAACAGG
rnacentral:rRNA from 1 species